rnacentral:tRNA from 1 species
GGCGUGUAUGCUCUGGUUUGAGCACUGGACUAUGACUGGAGACCAGGGUUCAAAUCCCUGCUCGGCCA